GGUAACGUGGCCCCGGAAUAUUGUAUAUGUAUUACACUCUGCACGCACGCCUGCGUAACACCGUUGCUACAACGACACCGAUAAAGGAAGGAGGAAGACAAACUGAGUCAUCUAUGGAUUAGAUAGAAUUUCUUUUAAAAAUUUGAUUCAAGAGUUUUUUAGCCUGUGUACGUGAGAAGAGGGCUGUAGCAACGCUGGCUGUGGCAACAAGGGAAAGUGGAAUUUGGGCUACACGCAGGAGUGCGCGCGAGCGAGCGAGCGAAUGGAUUUCGUGGGGAUGCAAGACACUGGAGCACUCGACAGACGGGGAAUGACGGUAAAUGACGUAAGAUAAGAUAAGGCAAGGUGAGGUUUGGUGAGCUGAGAGAGGCUCCUUAUGGACAUCCUUAUAAGGUUGCGGCGCCCACGUGCGUGCGGUUCUCGACGACUCGCGGUGCGCUUUCGGACAAGAACUAUACAAGUCUUUCUGCCUUUUUUUUCCAGCUAUGUACACGAAGGAGCUUGUACCUUGAAUAGCGUGA